ensembl:lncRNA
CUUUCCUAGGGUAAUAAGUUUCCUAUCUAUUGAUCAGUCAAGGCUAAAAGCUAAACUCUGUUUUCCUACUUCACUUCUGUACCUGCUGCUGCUGCUGCUGCUGCUAAGUCGCUUCAGUCGUGUCCGACUCUGUGCGACCCCAGAGACCUGAGUGAGAAGUAAAACUUUCUGCUGCCAUGUUUGGAAACCCCAUAUCACACACUCUUCACUCCUCCAAUAUGAAUCCAGUCUACUCCUUUGGGGCCCACUAUCCCCCUCAUGGAAAGCUGGUAGAUUUUCUUAAAGUUGAAAUCAUCAAGAAGCUAUGUGCUUAAACACUGUUUAAAACAGCCAAGCCAUGAAAGCAACCUGUGUCCAUCAACAAAGGAAUGGAUGAGGAAGAUGUGAUACAUACAUACAAUGGAAUACUACUCAGCCAUGAAAAAGAAUGAAAUAACACCAUGUGUAGCAACAUGGAUGGACCUGGGGAUUAUCACACAAAACAAAUAAAAAAAAGGGGCUGUGUGUCUAAAUGACUCGAAGGAGAAACAACAAAAGGAUUCAAUGCUCCACCUGGAAGGAUCAACAGGAUCAUCCUAGCCUCUGAUGAAUUCAUGCACAAGUAUGAGUGAACAUGGCUUCCCUGGUGACUCAGUGG